UCCUCUGUAGUUCAGUCGGUAGAAAGGCGGACUGUUAAUCCGUAUGUCACUGGUUCGAGUCCAGUCAGAGGAGCCA
rnacentral:tRNA from 1 species